rnacentral:rRNA from 1 species
GACUCUCGGCAACGGAUAUCUCGGCUCUCGCAUCGAUGAAGAACGUAGCGAAAUGCGAUACCUGGUGUGAAUUGCAGAAUCCCGCGAACCAUCGAGUCUUUGAACGCAAGUUGCGCCCGAGGCCUCUCGGCCGAGGGCACGCCUGCCUGGGCGUCA